AUAGGAAUAGGAGACUCAAGUAAAAUGCCUCUGUUGUGGUUCAUGCUCUAUCAUCCCUGGUGAGAAUGAGUUGCUUUCAUUGGCCUCCAGUGCAUUUACCACAAAGACCUUGGAUAUCUGUGGAAGCAGGAAGAGCCAACCCCAUGUGGAUGAAGUACCAGUUCUCUACAGGAUGUGGUGUGAAAAUCACAGAAAUCUCCAAGUGGAAAUCCAGAGAUUAAGGGCAUCAUUGAAUCAAUCAGGAACUCAGCUGAAACAAACCUACACUGUAAGACAUACUGGACCUCAUGACGCAACCAGCCCCAGUUACUGACUGUGCUAGAGAAAAUUUUGAGCUGCUGGAGCAGGUUUGGAAACCAGAAAGAGAAAAGGCUUCAAUAGCACACUAUUUCAUCUACCCUGGUAAAGUGGUGGUUUCUAAUUGUCAACAGAUCAGAAAGUUCAGUACCACAGGACAGACACACUCAGACUUUUCUGAAUAA
rnacentral:lncRNA from 1 species